GGCCCAGAGAGGUUCCCUCAGCACUGGGGGAGGGCAUUGGGGUCCCAGGUUUUCCCCUCGGGCACCCCAGCACAUGGUGAGGCUCCUUUCAGUGAGAUCGGGUGUUGAGCAGGUCCCAGUUCAAUGGCUGCUCUUACAAGCAAAGGGUCACCCAUGGUAGAAGAAGCAGUAAAGGGCUGAACUCUCCACGGCAUUGGAUUCUCCCUGCAGCAGUAGCAGCCCGGCACCAAGACCACGACUGUCUCACCUCUGAUCCUGAGAGAGAGCUGAACCCAGCCCCUCAGGCCCCAGCCAAAAUGUCAUCGUAUCCCUGCAUUUCCCAAGACAAAAAAAACCCCAAACCAGCUAAGUGACUGCAGACAGCUGCACUCUUGCCCCCAUCUUGGCUACAUCUUUUGUUUCUGUUAAGCAUCCAUCGUAUCCAUCAUUCCCAUCUCUUAGGCAACAAAUGGGAGAAAAUUCCCUGAGAGAAAGGGAAAAAAAAUAAAAAAAUCCUAACCUCCAACAGUCUGCUCCUACAUUUGACAAACCUGUAUCUUAGUAAUAAAAAUACUUUGUGCAUACAAAUAACAUUUCAUACAAAGAUCCCUGUUGCAUUACAAAGGUUGAAUUAUCAUCAUCCUUAUUUUACAAAUGGCCUGCCAGUGUCACAAUGAAAACCAUUAUAUCAUCGUUCCUUCAGCUGGAUCUUUUUAAUCACUAGUGGCCAGGGCUGAGCUUAAAAUGCAACUCCCAUGCCAAAUAUCAAACUAGAAUUUAACCCUCCUCAUUGUCCCCUGGUGAUGUUUCAUGGAAAUAAUAGCAAUGAGCUUGAACAGGUUGCUGAGUGCUGCAUGUUUGUAAAAGAACAUCCCUAAGACCGGUGAACAUUCCACCCUGCCAACAGUUUGAGCUGUUCCUGGAGUAAAUCAGGACUUAACUAGUUGGGCACCCCUCAGGAAGUUGUAAAACCAAGCAGAGAAUUACAGCUAUAAAUGUAGGGUGAUGUCAAGAAAGAAGAAAUCAGCCCACAGCACUUAUGAUUACAGAGCAGACAAUCUUUCUUUAGGAAACAAAUUACUGGGGGUGAGUCUGUAAGUAUUUUCAUUCUGUAUGUGCACUGGAAGGUUUUGAGAUCCAUUCAUGGACACAAGACAAAACAGUUGGUAAGAAAUUCAUCCUUCCAGUCAAGGUCAUAGAAGGUUAAUCUGUGGAAAGAGAGCAAGGCAGUACAAUUUGCAGCCUGGAAGACACUGGAGGAACAGAAGAGAGCACAAGUAAAGUCCAGAGCAGAGCCAGAGUAAGUCCAGGGUGAGUGAGAUGUCCUUAUUGCCUCCCAGACCUUCAGAAAGUGGCAGAUGCUGGCUCAGCCUCCUUCUAGUCCACAGGGAACACCUGCAAGUGGAGCCCCUUCUCCAUGAUGAUGGCGACAGUUCAUCCUAUGUAACUGUCUGCUAUACACGCUCAACACCAAUAUAAUUUGGAAUGCAUUUUUUCAGGGAUGUAACUUCACACAGGUACCCCUGCAAUAGAUCUGACUGGAAUUUUGGUCCAAAAUGAUUUGUUAGAUCAACAAGUUUAACUUCUGCAAGUACACAAGCUAGAGGAUGUGUACAAAUAUAUUUGUAUUCUUUAGGGUCAAAGACUGAUUAAACUAGGAAAUUUCAGUCUUCAGGUAGUUUAACAGUCAAAGCUGUAAGCAAAGAACAGGGUAGGCUGAGAUUCCCAGUAUCUACAAACCCAAGAGAUAUGGGAAAAGAGCUCCAGCAUGAGAAAUUUCAGGCAACUUCUCACCCCCCACAGAACCUCUCUCAAAAUGAAAAUUCCUUCCUAACCCAAAUUUGUGGUAUGAUAUUAAUCUUAUAAGCAAGAAGUGAGGGUUCAGGCUGAAAAACUUCAAUAUUGUCUUAAAGCAUGUGUGCCUUUUCUGCAUUCCCAUUGCUGGCUGGGGGAAGCCAUUCAUGCUUCAGGGGAAGUCAAAACAUCUCCAUGAGCUCUGAAAAGUGUAUAAUUGCCAUUUGGAUUCUGAGAGGAAAAAUCCCUUCCCCAUAUAUUUGCAGAGAUUUUGAACUAUCUUGCACUGAGCUGGAAAAGCCUUGAAUGAAAUACAAGCAAGACAGAGAAGUCCCCCAGCCAGGGCAAAAAGGGGCUUUUCAGCCUAUUUGCACUUUGGAUUCACCUGGCAUCAACUUCCAGCUUUUCUACUCUGCUGUGCCUUCAUCUUCAAGGCAUUCUGCUGCCAGCUUUACUGACAUUCUCCUGGGUUUCUGUAUUUUCAACUCCUUCAAGUCCCCAGCAGCUGUUGGACUAGUGAAAAAAAGGGAAGUAAAAUAUUGGCCAACAGUGCAAGCAGGGAAAAGAAUGACCAAAAUACCUUGGAAAUCUGGGUAGAAUUAUUUCAUACGCACAAAGGAUCUUAUUUUGAUUUUUCUGUUUUAAACACAUCUGGACUUUAGAAGGAUGAGAGGUCUGAGUCCUUCUCUGCAAAAUCAAGUGAAGUUGCAAAACAGAUCCAGAUACCAGUGGCUGUGUGGCUCAAGGACUGAUAGCUAGAAGCAUUGAAUUUACAUUGAAGUCCUUCCUUGAGCCUGUUUCUGCCUAGAAAUGAUCUAAUGCCAUUAUUGUCUGUUGGCUCACAGGCAUCCUGCCUCUGGAGUGCGGGAAAUAAAACCUGGUGAUGUUUGUUCAAGUUUUGGAGAGUGCUCGCAGUCACUAUUUCAUGCCUUUUCAAUAACUUCAUUGGAGAGAACAAGUAUGGAAUGAAAAUGCUCUCAUUCCUCCAGACCAGAGUUGAUUAUACCACUAAGUCAGCACUCGGAUAACUGGUCUGUGCUGCCUGGACAAAAAAAAAAAAAAAAAAAAAAAAGAGCCUAAUGUUUAUCUUCUGUUCAGAGAAAAGUUUGCUUAGUUACUGACUACAACACUACAGCAGAUAUGUGGAACGUGUGGCCCAGACAUGUUCAGACCAAUAGACUACAGCAGAGAUAGUAAUAGCCUGAUUUACCUGCUACCUGAAAUCAAAAAACAAAAUAAUAGUAUGGAUCUUUGUGCACAUUAGGACUUUUAAGGAAAUAUGUGCAGACAGAACUGCCAUAGGAAGAAUGAAGGUCUGUCAAAACUAGGUUUAGUAAAACUAUUUGGGCUUUCUUAAAACUUUUGUUAGGAAUUAAAAGAGGAAAUUUUGCUAAGAAUGGUAAAAAAGUGGCCGGUUUUGAUAUUUUCUGAUUCAAUAAUUUCUGACCUUUUUUCCUAUAUUUUUAAAACUAAAAAUAAGCCAAAUAUUUUAAUAUUAUGAAACCCAAAAUAUUUUAAUUACACAGAACUUUCCUCAGAUAUUUUUUCAUUUCAAAAUGAAACCAUAUUUCAAUAUCCUAAGAAGCUCAUAAGAAUGAGUUUAUACUCUCUUCAUAUUUCUGUCACAUGUUUAAAUUGUGUUAUUUUGAUGCAUUCACUUAUUUCUGUCUGUGUUUUGCCAAAAGUGUAGUACUCAAGUGUUGAUAGAAAAACACCUUAGGAAACAAAAGUUGAAAGUCACAUUACAAGUGUUUCUGGAUAGAACAACCUUGAUGUGAUGAAUGACAAAUCUCAAACAAGGAAUCCUAUUUAACACUUGAAUUCAUAUUCAAUCUACAGUGUAAAACAAAGUAUUUAAAGAAAUCAAUGGGAAAAGAUGAAUUCACAAGAAGCCUUAGGUAAUGGAAUUUCCCUUUUUGUGCUCUUUCAGUAUGUUUCACUUUGUGUCUUAUUUGCUUGUAUCCAUUCAUGACAUAAUGGAAUAUUAUGUUAAGUAUGUUAUCCUAUCUUUUUCUCAGUUUUUCUAAGCCACCAGUAUAUCUAACAUUGCUUCAUUGCAAAGAUGCCAAGAGUUAACAGGAUUAAAAAAUUCAAUCAGGUAAUUACACAGAUAUUAAGGAUCUUUACAGCUGUGUUACAUAUAUUUUUCUUAAUCCUACCAGGUGUAGAAAUCCUCACAUUUCAAACUGGAAAAUGACUCAAAGGGAGAAACGCCUAUUUCACUGGAUACUUAGUACCUUAGCUAAUGACUUCUCAGUUGUCUGAAACAUUUAUGGUGGUUGACUAGUCUUUGCAAAAACUUAAAUGAGGAAUAGGAUUAAAUGAGAUGCCAUAUUUACUCACCAGUUUUCUUCACUUACAUAACAUACCAAGUAUCAUAUAACAGAGAAGCAAGAUGUCACAUUCUUUUCCCCAAAACCAAGAUGCUUUGUAUUCAAUUCACUCCUCCCAGGAAGACACAGUCUGCUAUAGACAUUCAUGUAAGUCGAUGCAACCUCUAAAAGCUGAGCAACUAUCCUGCCUGCCUUGAUGCCUCAGCCCUUCUCCAGCCCAGCCCAGGUGACAGAUGACCCACAUGGUUGGCAGAGGAAGCAGAAAGCUCUUCAAGAAUGCUAAGAGCUCCAAAAAGUAUGGGGAUGAGUCCAAAUGUCAGGGUCCUGAGAAAUGUCUCCCUCUCUGAGAAAAGCCAGGUGUAAGGUACUGCACCUGGGGAGGAAUAAUCCCAAGUACCAGUACAGGCUGGGGGCUGACCCAAUAGCACCUCUGCAGAGACGGAACUGGAAGUCUUGGUGAAGACAAGUUGACCAGGAGCUGGCAGUGCCCCUGUGGCCAGGAGUGCCAGUGGUAUCCUGGGGUGCAUCAGGAAAAGUGUGGCCAGCAGGACAAGGGAGGUGGUCCUGCCUCUCUGCUUGGCCCUUGUGAAGCCACAUCUGAGAGCUGUGUCCAGUUCUGGGCUCCUCAGCACAAGAAAGACAAGGAGCUGCUGGAGAGGGUCAGCAGAGGGGCACAAAGGUGAUGGGGGUCUGGAGAUUCUGAGGAGAGACUGGGGGGGCUGGGCCUGUUUAGUCUGGAGAAGACUGAGGGGGGAUCUCAUCAACACCUAUAAUACCUCAAGGGCAGCUACCAAGGUGAUGGUGCCAGACUUUUUUCAUUGGUGCCCAGUGAUAGGACAAGGGGCAAUGGCCAUAAACUAAAAUACAAGAAGUUCCAUCUCAACAUGAGGAAGGACUUCUUUACAUUGAGGGUGGCAGAAGACUGGAAUAAGCUGCCCAGGAACGUUGUGGACUCUCCCUCUCUGGAGACAUUCAAAACCCACACGGACACAUUCUGGUGUAGACUAAUUUAUUAAUUAAUAAUAAACCUAAAUUAAAUCUAA